rnacentral:rRNA from 1 species
CCGACGGGUGAGUAACGCGUAUGCAACUUGCCUAUCAGAGGGGGAUAACCCGGCGAAAGUCGGACUAAUACCGCAUGAAGCAGGGAUCCCGCAUGGGAAUAUUUGCUAAAGAUUCAUCGCUGAUAGAUAGGCAUGCGUUCCAUUAGGCAGUUGGCGGGGUAACGGCCCACCAAACCGACGAUGGAUAGGGGUUCUGAGAGGAAGGUCCCCCACAUUGGAACUGAGACACGGUCCAA